UAAGAGUACGAUAGCCUAAUCACCUAAAGUACUAUUAAUGGUAGUUUACCUUCUUUGUGAUUGUAAACAUACCAGGUAAUGUAUAGUUUUGCGGUAUGAAUACCGUUAAAUCUAUGUGUUCGUGGUCUAUAUGACCCCUCAGCACAAUUUUAAACCUUUUACUCUUGUGAGUGGUGUAUUGGGUAGCAUGUGAUAUGUGUGAAUGGUGUAAGGUGCACAGUGUAAGGUGUAAGGCGAAUUUCGGGGACGAAAUUCUUAUAAGGAGGGGUGAAUGUGACAACCCGAG
rnacentral:lncRNA from 1 species